rnacentral:lncRNA from 1 species
GGGGUGACCACUUCAGGCUUCAACACCUAAUUUGCAGGAAUCCAAGGUUAGGUGAUGCUGUUCAUGCCUGGGAAACUGGUGCCAUGAGACAGGUUGUGCUCUUGGGUCACCAGAGAAAGCCUAUUUGCCCCAUGCUGGGCUCAGGGAGAGCUGGGUGCUCCAACUGGUCCGAGUAUGGCUCAGAGGUACCACACAACAAGCACACCUGCCUGGCAGCAGAUGGACACCCACAGCACAAAGCAAGAGGACAAGAGGGAUUUCCUGAAGCAAAUCCAGGACUUGCUGAGAUACAGACACCACCACUCUGAGCUAUAGGAGGGACAGACCAUCUCCUAUGACUGUUUUCUGAGUGGAUCACUGAAAGCAUGAAUGAGCAUUGUAAUGUUAUAGCACAUCUUUUCAGUGGUGUGGAGCACAAAAAUCCUACUCUCAUAUGGCAGUAAUAUGCAGUGUUUAACAAAAAUAUAUAAAGUAAAGAAAUUCAAGGUAAAUUGGAGCGAUUUACUAUUUUUACUCAUGUUACCUCUAAUUCAGCAGACAGGUUUUCUGCCCCUCUCUCUAG